rnacentral:rRNA from 1 species
UACGUAGGGACCGAGCGUUGUCCGGAUUCAUUGGGCGUAAAGAGCUCGUAGGCGGCUAUUCAAGUCGAACGUGAAAUCUCGGAGCUCAACUCCGAAACUGCGUUCGAUACUGGGUAGCUAGAGUCUGGUAGGGGGAUCUGGAAUUCCUGGUGUAGCGGUGGAAUGCGCAGAUAUCAGGAGGAACACCGAUGGCGAAGGCAGCUCGCUGGGACGGUACUGACGCUGAGGCGCGAAAGCGUGGGGAGCGAACAGG